UCAGCUGUACGGCAUGAAAAUGGUCGGAGGAUGGAGGUAUAUAUAAGUUAUUGGUGAACGUGGCCUAAUUAAACCAUCAUUUCAAAACUUGAAUUGGUAAUAAUGGCUGCCCAGUACUAUUUCGAAGAUCCGAAGGUGCAGAAUUCUUCAAACGGAAUUAAUUGCACUUUAUGUUGUACUGUAACAGGUGUUCAUACGAAAUCACUACGUUCACUUUGUGGAUUGCGUAACUUGCAAAGAUUUAGAAAAUUCCACCAGUUGAUCUGUGCUAGAUGUGUAGGUAAGGUCUGACUUAGUAGACAGGUCUGCCUAAUCGUGGGAUUGUUAAGGAGGCCGAAGUUUACACCAAAUGUCUUAAGAGUUUGAAGGAACCAUCAGCAUUAUUACGCGUUCCUUCACGUGUGUUCGUUAAGGGCAAUGGUGGGAAGGGGCCCAUCAAGACAAGAUUUGGUAUAAACUGGACGUUAUCAGGGAGAUUAUCCCUUGUGACAUGAAAGUAGAAUGGAAAGCCCUUUAACCCGUUCAGUGUAUGAUACCCAAAUUGUGUUUGGGUGAGGGAGCCAAGAAUUUACCAAGACCAUUUUUGCUAGGCUGAAUCUCUUACUGAUGCCAAGGCCCACAUAACCAAAGCUGGACAGAAUUAAACUGUCAACAGUUUCGAGAACUGUGCUGGUGCAUUUUCAGCAGAAUGCCCAAAUGGAUGUGCCAUGGCAACCUGACCUGGUACCUGUCCAGAAAGAUGACACCAGAAUAAUUAUCAUGAGUAGCAGCCCUCUAGAUUAUGAAAACAACAUUCAACUAUUUAAAAUAUAAUGAUUGGUUUAAAGCUGAUUUAUUGACACUGAAUGUUGAUAAAACAUAUUUUAUACAAUUUUUGACUAAGAAUAGCUAUCAAGUGAAUAUGCAUAUUGACUAUGGUAACAACCAGUUUGCUAAAUCUACUAAUACCAAAUUUUUUGGAUUAAUUAUCAACAGUAUAUUGUCAUGGAAAGGACAUGUUGAGUGGGUUAUGUCUAAAUUAGGUUUGGCCUAUUAUGCAGUCAGGGCUGUUAAACCUCAUAUAUCACAGGAAACAGUAAGAGUGAUUUAUUUCUCAUAUUUUUAUUCUGUUAUGUCUUAUGGUAUAAUUUUCUGGGGCAAUUCUCCCCAUAGUGUUCAUACUUUUAGGCUACAGAAAAGAGUAAUUAGAAUUAGUACUAAUUCUAGAAGUAGAGAAAUUGUUUAUGAAACUGAAAAUUUUGCCCCUCCAGUCACAGUCCAUAUUUUCUCUUUUUGUUAUUUAUGGUCAAGAGCAGAGAACAAUUUAAAUCUAAUUCUGAGAUUCAUAGCAUUAUUACAAGACACAUUACCAUUAUCCAGUAUGUACUUUAACAGUAUUUCAAGAAGGAACAUACUAUUUUGUAAUAGAGGUUUUUAAUAAUCUUCCUUCUAGCAUAAAGAACUUGGCUCAUGACACAGAACAAUUUAGAUUUUCUUUAAAAAGAUUUCUACUUUUAAAUUCAUUUUCCUCAUUGCAAGAAUAUUUUAACUUCAAUAUUAAUUAAAGAUCUUUGUCUGUUAUAUGCUGGACGCCUAGUAGUAUAUUUUUAUGUUUGAUUAUUGUAGUCUUGCUUGAUAUUAGUAUGUUGCAUGCUUUUACAUAUAUGUUUUAUAAUUGUUUAAUGAUUUACUCAUGAUUUGUCUUGGAUAACAUGUGUGAUUGUUAUGGAUUAAGUAUAAUAAAUUUGUAUUUCUAUAAUUGA